rnacentral:rRNA from 1 species
AGAGCGAACGCUGGCGGCAGGCCUAAUACAUGCAAGUCGAACGGACCCUUCGGGGUUAGUGGCGGACGGGUGAGUAACACGUGGGAACGUGCCCUUUGGUUCGGAACAACUCAGGGAAACUUGAGCUAAUACCGAAUGUGCCCCCAUCCUUAAACAAGAUGGGUGGGAAAGAUUUAUCGCCAUUGGAGCGGCCCGCGUCUGAUUAGCUAGUUGGUGAGGUAAAGGCUCACCAAAGGCGACGAUCAGUAGCUGGUCUGAGAGGAUGAUCAGCCACACUGGGACUGAGACACGGCCCAGACUCCUACGGGAGGCAGCAGUAGGAAUCUUGCGCAAAUGGGCGAAAAGCCUGACGCAGCCAUGCCGCGUGAAUGAUGAAGGUCUUAGGAUUGUAAAAAUUCUUUCAGCGGGACGAUAAUGACGGUACCGCAGAAGAAGCCCGGCUAACUUCGUGCCAGCAGCCGC